rnacentral:lncRNA from 1 species
AAAAAACAAAAAAAAAACUUGUUGUGAAAACGUUUCCUUUAAAUAAUUGAUACAGUAUGGAGAUGAUGCCAUCUUGAUCCGGGAACAAGGUAGGUUUAGAUAUUAAUGAAAUAGAGGAAUUUAAAGGGAUCCAUCUACCAUUUGAUUGAUUUUUGAAUGUGUCAUUGGCUGUUUCUAACGAGGAUUUGGACAUGAGAGGCCCCAAUGUUUGGGGACUGGAGCUUGAUGGGGAAAC